UACGUAGGGGGCAAGCGUUGUCCGGAAUCAUUGGGCGUAAAGAGCGUGUAGGCGGCCCGGUAAGUCGGUUGUGAAAGUCGGGGGGCUCAACCCUCGGAUGCCGAUCGAUACUGUCGGGCUAGAGUCCGGAAGAGGCGAGUGGAAUUCCUGGUGUAGCGGUGAAAUGCGCAGAUAUCAGGAGGAACACCGGUGGCGAAGGCGGAUCUCUGGGCCUUACCUGACGCUGAGGCGCGAAAGCUAGGGGAGCAAACAGG
rnacentral:rRNA from 1 species